UAAUGGAGUACACAGAAGUGGAGGUGCGUGACUCCCCAAGCUAGGUCACUGAAGGCAUUGCAGCUUCAGCUCUGUUCUCUUGGAUGACUUGUUCUGGAGGAAGCUAGCUGCCUUGCUGUGAGGAUAAGCAGCUCUAUAAAGAGGUACAUAUGAAGAUGAACUGAGACUCCAGCCAAAGGCCCGAACUAAUUUGUUAGCAAAGUGAGUAAUCUACCUUGGAAGUGGAGAUCCAGCCCUAUUCAAGCCUUCAGAUAUUACAAAUGCCCAAGAGGCUCUGACCAUAGCUAGAUCAACUGAGCAGAAUUUCUGGUGUACAGAAACUAUGAGAAAUAAUAAAUGAUUAUCAUUUAAGCCACUAAAUUUUAGAGUGAUUUGUUUUAUAGCCAUACUAAAUGGAACAUUGAGAUUUCUUCAAAUUUUCAAAAAUUUUCUGCUCUCAGGGAUCAUCUUCUUUGAACAAGAGUGGGAAGAAAUAGACAGGGGUUGGAGGGGGUGCUCUGGCACCCGCGCAGCUGACCUUCUCUGCCCUAGGAGCACGGAAUGGCGACUCUGGAAUAUGUUUUCCUCUCUGACAAGAAGUGUGGCUCUGGACACCUGGGGAUUCAUGAUUAAUGAGAGUUCCAAUC
rnacentral:lncRNA from 1 species